AAACCAGCACCUCAAGUGGUCAGGAUGAUUAUUGGGCCUAAAGCAUCCGUAGCCGGCUCUGUAAGUUUUCGGUUAAAUCUGUACGCUCAACGUACAGGCUGUCGGGAAUACUGCAGAGCUAGGGAGUGGGAGAGGUAGACGGUACUCGGGAGGAAGUGGUAAAAUGCUUUGAUCUCUCGAUGACCACCUGUGGCGAAGGCGGUCUACCAGAACACAUCCGACGGUGAGGGAUGAAAGCUGGGGGAGCAAACCGGAUUAGAAACCCGAGUAGUCC
rnacentral:rRNA from 1 species